AUGAAAAAGCUGGAGACCAAAUUGCUCCGCUCAGCCAGACCAGGUACAGCAUGGCCUGCAGCAGGGCAAGCUUCCCACGGGUACUGCCUACCAAAGUGACUCAGUCCUGACCCAGAGGGACCAGGGGCAGGGGGGAAGUUUAGUCUCCACAGCCCGGUCAGUCCUGGAUCACU
rnacentral:sRNA from 1 species